CAGAUACUUCGAGCUCUCGCGUUUCUGUCUCUCGUUGCCGCUGUUCUCUCUCUCUCUGUCUAUCUCUCUCUCUCCCUGCGCAGCGCGUUCCCUGCCUCGCCGCCGCGCGCCGGCCAUCACGUCGCUGCUAUGCGCGCUGCUGACGAGCGCUGCUGCCCCGUGCCGUUUGCCAGUCGAGCCCAGCUCCCGCGUGCCGAGCGCCUGCGCCGCCGUCGCGCCGGGCCGGCUGCUGUGCCCGCACGCCGCUGCCGGGGUCUCCCUCUCUCUCUCUGUGUCUUGACCAAAGGAGCAAGCCAACAGCCGGUUGAAGAAGAAGCCAGGAAGAAGAAAAGGAAAAAAAAAGAGAGGAAAAAAAAGAAGAGGGAAAAAAAAGAAGAGAGAGGAAAAAGGUGAAAAUUUUGGAUUUUCGUCGAAUUCGUCGUCAAUCCUUCGAAGGUGAUACUAUUUCCGGACGUUCUUGAUCGAAUUUUCUUCAUCGUCGGUAAAGGCAAGUGAAUGUAUUGUAUGACUAUGCUUUAACCUAAUAUUGGGUUGCUUACAUUCUUUAAUUACAGUGUAUUCAUCUAAUCUGAAUGACUGAUUCUGGGCUGAGUACUAUGUUGUUUACGUUUCCAGAAGUUUACUCGAUGAUUGAUUUAUGAAGUGCAGUAGGCACGAUAUGUCAUUCUGCAGUUGUUCAUUAGUGUUGUAUGCAAUAUUUUUUUUGAAGUCUCAAGCAUAUUCCGGAAGUUAUGUUGGUUAUGUUUGAAGCACGUCAUACAUAUACAUCUCAUGCAUUGGAAGUUUGUCGUCAUCUUCUGGCCGCGACCGUACCGGUACAGUACCGUAUGUCACCCGAGGAGAGGUACGGUGCACACCCUUACGUUACCCGAGGAGGGGUAAGGGUGAGAAGAGCAUGUCAUGUGCAUGGUUAUGUCUUCUUGUGAAAUUCAAUGAAUUAUUCAUAUCAAAUCUUAUUUCCUUUAGUUAGCGUGUAUAUAGAUAUAUAUGCGGCUCUGAAGGCUUAUACCAACCGAAUGUUAAAAUGUUUGAUGUUAUCGUUGGACUUGUUUAGUCAUAACUGUUUCUCCUGGUGUUGGUGGUCUGUUUCAUUACUAGUUUCUAUUUAGAAUUGUUAGCACAUUCAACUGUGGCUAAAUAGCUUUUUGUUAAAGUACCUUUCACUUGCUGAGAUUUUUGAAUCUCACAUGUGUUUUCUUUACAUGUAUGUUUAGAUAUUGACGUGCAUUUUGGGGAUGGAUCUCGGUAGUUGCACACACUAACUUAUCACGAUGUCGAUAGCUCAACCGGUGUAUACAAGUGGUGUGUAUGAUGGUCUGUCGUUUGUUUUUGUUUAUGUUGUGGUACGACGCUGGUAGCGUCGUGGCGGACUCUAUAUAUAUGCUGGUUAUAUCUGUUUCUGCCUGCCUGUGAUA